GGCAAACGGGAGUUGCAUAAUCUCAUAGUCAUAGGAACAUGUAUAAGUCAUGAAGAAAAGCAAUAGCAACAUACUAAACGAUCGGGUGCUAAGCUAAUGGAAUGGGUCAUGUCAAUCAGAUCAUUCAACUAAUGAUGUGACCUCGUUAAUCAAAUAACAACUCUUUGUUCAUGGUUAGGAAACAUAACCAUCUUUGAUUAACGAGCUAGUCAAGUAGAGGCAUACUAGUGACACUGUGUUGGUCUAUGUAUUCACACAUGUAUUAUGUUUCCGGUUAAUACAAUUCUAGCAUGAAUAAUAAACAUUUAUCAUGAUAUAAGGAAAUAAAUAAUAACUUUAUUAUUGCCUCUAGGGCAUAUUUCCUUCACUCCGGACUUCUUUUGUGUUCAGUAUGCAGCAUUUAAAGCGACGUCAUCAAUAUCCAACAUGUUCUGACAUCAUUUGUUGUUUUUCGGUCAUUUACCUAGCUAAUUGUUUAGAGAGCUAAAUGACCGUGAAAUUGAAAAUCACUACAAAAUGAAUCCUGAAAAUGUUGAAACUUGGCACGGUAUCAUCAUAUCACCCGCAUAGCAUGCGCGAAAGAGUAGAGAGGGUCACGGCAAAAACUGGACGGACUCCGUGUACAAACUGGACCUACUCUUUCCGAGUAUCAGGGUUUCGGACGAGAACUCAUCUGUUACAUGGCCACUUCAAUGUUUUUUAUACUUAUUUGAACUCCGGACUUCUUUUGUGUUCAGUAUGCAGCAUUUAAAGCGACGUCAUCAAUUUUCAACAUGUUCUGACAUCAUUUGUUGUUUUUCGGUCAUUUACCUAAUUGUUUAGAGAGCUAAAUGACCGUGAAAUUGAAAAUCACUACAAAAUGAAUCCUGAAAAUGUUGAAACUUGGCAUGGUAUCAUCAUAUCACCCGCAUAGCAUGCGCGAAAGAGUAGAGAGGGUCACGGCAAAAACUGGACGCACUUCGUGUACAAACUGAACAAACUCUUUCCGAGUAUCAGGGUUUCGGACUAUGCAAAAAUAAGUAAUGCAGAAAAUAAAAGAACUAUACAAAAAAAUUACUCAAAAAUAAAUAGAAGAAAAUAAAUAAUGCAGAAAAAAAACUAUAUAAAAAACUACUCAAAAAUAAAUAAAUAAAAAUAAGUAAUGCAGAAAAGAAAAAACUAUAUAGCAAAUUUGUUGGCGCACUGCC
rnacentral:lncRNA from 1 species